CCUUGUUCAGAACUUAAAGAGAAAUCUUGAGUUUAUGGACUUCAGGGGGAGUAUGGUCACAAGGCUGAAACUUAAAGGAAUUGACGGAAGGGCACACCAGGAGUGGAGCCUGCGGCUUAAUUUGACUCAACACGGGAAAACUUACCAAGACCGAACAGUAGAAGGAAUGACAGAUUAAGAGUUCUUUCAUGAUUUAUUGGGUAGUGGUGCAUGGCCGUUCUUAGUUGGUGGAGUGAUUUGUCAGGUUAAUUCCGGUAACGAACGAGACUGAAACCUAUUAAUUAGUUUUCUGCCUAUAAGACAGAAAUGUUCGCAAGAACAGGUGCGUAAGUACCACUUCUUAAAGGGACACAUUUCAAUUGUCCUAUUUUAAUUGUUAGUUAUCUAAUUUCG
rnacentral:rRNA from 1 species